UACUUCCAUAUCUUUUAAGUGUAUAUCUUUUCCUCUUUUUCCCAGGACACUCUGGACUUCAGCCAACAGGACCCUUGAGCUGAAGUGAAGAUGACCACAUUCAAGGAAGAACCUUCUGCCCCAGCUUUGCAGGAUUAAAAACUUUCCCACUUGGCUCUUAUUCUUCCACAAGAGAGAGCUUUCUCAGGACCUGGUUGCUAUUGGUUCAGCAACUCAGCAGAAAAUGACUCCUUUGUGGCUUCCUGAACUCCUGCCCUUGUCCUGAAGUCCCAGCAUUGAUGGCAGUGCCUCAUCUUCAAUUUUUAUGCUCCCCUUUACCUAACCCUUCAUGCCUCCCCUGCAUCUGUACUCACCCUGUGCCACAAACACAUUACAUUAUUACAUUUUUCUCAAACAUGGAGUUAAAA